UCCAAAUCGAGGUCUCAGGAAUAAACUGAGGGAGAAAAUUCAAUAUAUCGGAAUUCGCAUUCCUCUUCGCCAUGGAAGCUCGUCACGCUUCUCUAGUUCGACGAACGGUAUUCAUUUAAUCAGUAAUCACCAUCUGCAUGCGCGCAUGCAUGAUGCAUCCGUGUUUUUUUUUUUCUUUAAAUUAAUAUUUAACGUAAUCUCAUUUUCAUUUUUCUUGAGUGGAUAUGGUGCCUUGCAGUUGGAAGAGAUUAGACAAAAGAGAGCAGCUGAGAGAUUGAACAGAACGUCUUCUGGACCAUAUCUCACCAAAGCUCCAAUCGCUAAUGAUAAUAUAGGAACAAAAAUUUCAGAAAGCACAAACAGACUCUCUGAGGUGGGACAUUUUCUCCUUGGAGCUGCGGUUGAGGGGAUUUUCUUAAAUACAAUAACAACGUCAGUGGAUUAGUAUCUCAGCUGAAAGUUCUGCAGAAAAAGAAUGCAGAUCUGGAGGAAAGCAACAAGAUUUUAUUGUUGAAUGAACAGAAUACUCUACCAUCUUUAACAAAAGCGCUCAAGGAUGUUGCCUUGGAGAAAGAUGCAGCAGUUGUUGCACGGUGUAGGAGGACCUCUCAACCCAGCUUCGCACCCUCAAGAAACGUCUAAGGGAAAACAGCACAAGAACAAUGCAGAGCUGAGGAAGACGCAGCCACUUUAAGAGUAGUGGAACUGUGAAACCAUCGAUGAUACUUCCCCAUAUCUCAAGCAGUUCUCCAAUCUCACUGUGCUUCUCAAUCUCAAAUAUAAUGUAAGAAGACUUCAAUCAUUGAUUUCCUCAUGAAUGAACGGUAGAAAGUGAACCUUGAAUAUAUAUAAACAAGAUGCAGAUGGGGCCAUAUGUGGAUGUAAGAUCAGAAGCAUGUUCUUCAUCUUCCAGUAGGUCUCCAGUGAGAGCAUUAUUGUGAGGAGGCAGAGGCUUUUGGAGAGUUCUAAGAACAUUCAUCAUCUCUCUCUCUCUAGUUUCUUCCUGCUUUCAUGUGCUCAGAUUGCUGCUUAUCAGGACAUGCAGAGAUGUGGAUUUAUGUUCUGAAAAUUGCUGAAAGAAACAGAGAGAAUGUGUUGAAGUUGUCUUCAUCAUAUUUAUUUCUUGUUAAUUGAUCCAAGAAAUGCCAGAAAAGACAGCAAUGUUUUAUAGACGAGGAGAGAUUGGAAUAUCCAAUUAUUGAACAUAGAAUUUUACCCACAAGCAAAAAGAUAUCUGGGUGUUUGCCA